UACCUGCAGCUCGAGUGGUAACCGUUAUUAUUGGGCCUAAAGCGUCCGUAGCCGGUUUGGUAAAUAUCUGGGUAAAUCGUGAGGCUUAACUUCACGAAUUUCGGAUAGACUGCCAGACUUGGGAUCGGGGGAGGUCAGAGGUACUCCAGGGGUAGCGGUGAAAUGUUGUAAUCCUUGGAGGACCACCGGUAGCGAAGGCGUCUGACUAGAACGAGUCCGACGGUGAGGGACGAAGCCCUGGGGCGCAAAACCGGAUUAGAUACCCGGGUAGUCCAGGGUGUAAACGAUGUGGGCUUUGUAUUGGAGGUCCCACGUGGGCGUCCAGUGCAGAAGAGAAGUUGUUAAAGCCCACCGCCUGGGAAGUACGGUCGCAAGGCUGAAACUUAAAGGAAUUGGCGGGGGAGCACAGCAACGGGAGGAGCGUGCGGUUU
rnacentral:rRNA from 1 species